GGGCGCCGGGCCAGGCCGUUUCCUGCAGGCGGCGUUUAACGAUUAGUGUGCAGGGAGCAGUUUAUGAAUUUUCUGAUGGAAAAGUAUAUGCCAGCGCCUCUGUUCAUGAACUUAAUUCUUUCCACUAUUCUGGUCGCAAACCGACCUCGACAGGAACUCAAUCAAACUCAGUGAAUGGCUAGGUUUAAUGCUGACCUGGUGGGGAAAUUUGAUUCCGUUCUCAUUCAAGUCAGUUUGCGACCAUAAUAGUGGGAAGACUUAAGUUCGUGAACAGAGGUACGACGUUAGCCUGAAUAGGAAACUAAAGAAAAUUAUUCAUUAUGAGCGGGCACCUGUGUGAUUUUUCAAAUCUUCACGGUGAUUUUUAGUCUCUUACUCUUUGCUCAUUGUUUUUAUUCCUCUGUUUCCUUGCUUGUUUGUUUUUGUUUUGUUUCCUUUUUGAGACAGGGUCUUGCUAUGCCGUUCAGGCUGACCUUGAGUUUACUUUGUGGUCCAGACUGGUCCCGAACUUGAAAUGAUCCUCCUGCCUCAGCCUCUUGAGUGCUUGGAUUACAGGCUUGUGCCACUAAGCCUGGCUCCUCUGUUUCUUUAAACUAUCGCUUUUGUGUGUCCCAGUUCCUGAAGUCUCAGCUGGUUUUGCAGUUUGCUGCUUGUCUCCUGAGAACGCCUGACUCUUGUGUGUAUCAUGGUUUUCAUCAUCAGCCCUUCUUCAGGGGAACUGCAUCCCCUGGCUCGGAGACGCAUUUCUUUUCUUUCUUAUUUAAGUAGCACGUUUUUACAGUUCGUAAUGAAUACGUGCAUUGCGGGUCAUGGGUACCCAAGUAUGACACAUCCUAAUUGUGUUAACAUCCUCUUCCUCCCUCCAACACCUCCAUCUCUGGUCUCCUGCCCAUUUGCCAAAGGUCUGCCAAAGGUCUAUCUCCCUAAUUCCUGUGUCUAUCUUUUAUUUUGUUCAUUGAUUUACUUCUACUUUUGGGUUUUAGGACAGCUCGGCGUCACCAGGAUCUCAGCCUCUGCCCACGUCCUCUGAAUCAUAAAGUGGAUUCUCACACCCUUUCGCCCAGGGUGACAACCACAGUUUUCCUUUUUUAUGUGGUCUGAAGCAGAAGCAGGACAGGCACUUUGCAUGAGCAACUUAGCAGAGAGUAAAAUGAAACUAUCACUCUCCCUGCUACCCACCUGCUCCCCUCUGGGUCCAGUGGCUCAAAUGCAAAAAAAGAGCAGGGUUAACUGAGACAUUUUUGUGAGCAGCUACCUUUCCAGUUCCUCAGAGACCCUGUACUGGGGAUCUGGUGCAGAGUAGCUCCUGAGCCAGGCAUAAUCAUUUGGAAGGGGGUACAAAGAUCCCAGCACUGCCCCAGCCUGGUGCCUGCAUAGCCAGGAAGCCUGGGUGCCCUUGGCUCUUCUGAGCUAGCUGCCUUCUUUUAAUGGACCUCUUCCUUUGUGAUAUCCCAAUCUGUGUGACUGUUCUUCUGCCUUAGUUUCAUCCCGUGAGCAUCAGAUGAGCCACCCUAAUCCCAGCCCUGACUCUUUGUACUGCAGUGGAAGGCUAGACCGUCUCACCAACUUCCAGUUGCAGCCUGAGAGCCUUCUCUCUGAAAACCAUCGGCUUCCAGCCAGACACGUCUUAGUGGAACUACAGAAACUUCUUUGCCGUCAGAAGCACGGUCAGACUACUCGGCCACCCAGCCUUAGCCUCAUUUGAAAUUCAUUUAUGGACUUGGCCCUCCCAAACCCUUCAAUAUGGCAGCCACCUGUUGACUCCUCACACUAAGCCAGGCCCUGAGCUCUGGACAGAGAUGAGCUGCAACCUUCUCGGCUCUGAGUGGCAAAUCAGGAUUUACAUAAGUACAGAGCAGCAGUUGACAAAGAGAUACAAGUGAGGUCACGAACAUUAUGAAUCAGUGAUGUUCAUCAUCCACUAACCCACCUGAGGACAUGAGACUCCAAGACCAAGGAUCAAGGCACUGGAGCAAAACACAUGGUUCCUAGGAAUCAGUUUGGGGACUGAUCCAGAUUCUUGAUUCCAAGUUCAGCUCCAGGUACUGACUGUCCUUGCUGGAGAUGUCGCUUGAUUUCUUCCAUCAGUGCUGAGCUUCAGAAUCAUUAAAUCUCAUGUGAGAAGAAAUUUACCUCUCAUAACCAAGUGAAGGCAGAAAUGCUUCAGUGGCUCACCCUAGGCUAUAAGCAUUCCUUUCCUCUUCAUCCCCAUCUUCUGUGUCACAGCAGAAAACCCUGACAGAAAACCCACACAGGCACAAUAAUGUGCACCCCUCUUCCAGGGAGGGGGGCAGUGUGACAUGGUGGCUGACAGCCCAGUUCCAAGGUCUGCCACCUCCUGAGCCUUGGGCAAGUUCACUACCCAGCCUGAACCUCCAUUUCACAUAGCUGAUGAUGAUGGUGCAGUGGAACAAAGCACUGGAGAGCUCGGCACAAUAGUCAGAACGUAGCAGGUGUUCAGUAAAUAUAAACUGAUCACAACUACAUCGAGCCAAACUAUAGGUCAAGUCUUUGAGCUGCCAAGACUAUUCAUACAGCACGGACUGGACAUGUGCUUGGUACCAGCACUUCUGCAAAUGUCACUCAUCAGUUCCUCACAACAGGCUGGUGGGAUUGCUACUAUCAUUCCCAUGUUUCACGCAAGGUAACUGAACAUUACUGGGUGAUGGCUGUCUUUUGUAUAUCAGAGCUGGGGUUUGUGUCCAUCCUCUGUGACUCUCCUCCCAGCACCCUACUGCGCAGGAGAAGGUCAUGUUAUGCUGAGAUUGCCUAGGAUGCAUUACAAAGGAUGUGACAGGAACUCCUGAGUUGGGGUCUUAGGGACUCCUUAGCUGUGGUUUUGCCACACUUACUGUGUAGGUUUAAGCCAGUCACAUUGCCUCUCUGGGCCUCACUGGCUUAACCUGCCAUCCAAGGAGGAUGGAUAUCAACUCAAAGGUCCUAUCCAACUCACAGACUUCUGGGAAAACACAGUCCUGGAAUGGUGGAAGCAUAACAUGUCCCUAAAUCGCAAGUCAGUUUUGUUUUUUGAACCCAUGCAUUUCUUCAUGAAUUCAGAAACUACCAGAGGAAAACUCUCUAAUUAUCCGACAGGGACUAGCUGGGCUAGUAAUUACCCCUAUUAUCUUUUACUGUAUUUUAUAAGGUGCCUUUCAUCCAAGAUCUCAAAGGACUCCUCAAACAUUCAUUAGUUGAGCCCCACCCCUCUCUGGGUGGAUACGAAAGGCAGAGAUUGGUUUUAGUGUCACAAAAAAGAGGUGGGUAGAGAAAGAGACUGAGAUCCUGGGAGUGAUUUCACCUCUGAGUUCAAAAGAAGAAGAGCAGAAUUACACAGCGAAGUGCCCACCUUCAGAGGAAGCUUGUGAGAUAUUCCGGGGAGCAGAAAAUGUUUCUCCUUUAAAAAAAGAAAGCAAACUGGCUUCCAUAGUGCCUUGGAGAUGCUUCAGUUCAAUUCCAUUUGCUUCUCUUCACCGGAGCUAGUCUCCAGCAGGCAGACCUAUGGAAAAUGACAAGAAGGAAAUGAAUGACACAAAGGUUUCAGAGCCUACUCACGGCAGAUUUGGGCUCACUGGUAAGCAUCCAAGAGAGCCCUGAUUGACUGCUCUUAACAAGUGGCUAAGCCCAGGUGGCCACUGUGGCUGGGGUUUAGACUCACUCAGAAAGCAAUUAGAGCACAAUGCAAGGUCCCUAAAUUGGAAGUUCCCAUGGAGAGCCAGACUCUUACGCACUGCAGUUUUUCCUGUUGGGCCUGAAACAGUCUGGACACUUUUUCUGCCUAAAAAACAAUAAUUCGUUACACACCAUGAAAAAUGACACAGGUCAGAAAAGGAAGGUAUGUGGAGGCCAAAUGUCAGGGAAGGCUUCCAGAGGAAAGAGGAGGUGCUGUGGGUGAUGAAUGAAGCACAAGUGGAAACCAGAGCCUCCCCCAGCCCAGGCCAUUUUAAAGGGCGUUCACACCUCAAGAAGGCUGUGCAGUGAGGAGCCGGAGGGAGGGAGCUGAAAGCUUCUGCAGGACAGAGGGAUGCCCUGCAUUCGCCCAGUAUAUCAGUCACUUUUCCAUUACUGGGACAAAAUCUAUAACACACACAGUGUGAGGAAAAGAGGAUUAUUUUGGCUCAAGCUCUCAGUGCAUGUUUACCUGGCUCCAGUCCAUGUUUGUCUGGUCCAAGGCAGAAAUUUCAUGGUGGGAGGGCAUGGGCAGAGGAAACCUGCUCACCUUCAAGGCAGCCAGGAAGCAACAUGUGAGGGAAGGAGUCCAAAAGAAAGGAUUUGGGGACAAGAUAUGUCCUUUCUAAGCUUGCCCUCUGGGACUCUUACCUCCUAAUAAGCCCAUUGAGCUAUGGAUUAAUCCACUUGAUGAAGUUAGAUGACUCAGUUCCCAAAACCCCAAAAGCAACCAAGUUUUCAACAGAAGGAGGCUUUAGGGGUGAUUUCAGAUCCCAGUCAUAACACUGAGGGAAAGGACCUUGGAGGUUUUUGCCAGCAUCCAUCGGUUUGUCUUCUGGAAAUACCACACUACACUCACUCUCACUUCAUGGGCUCCAUUGUGGAGGACAUCACCUUUGUAUUUUGUGAGUGGACUCUUCAUGGGCACCACCAUUCAGUGCUCUGCCACCUCCUGGCCACAGGAUUUGUUCAGUGACAAGCACAUGGCCUAAACCACAAAGAGGCUCUUUUGAGGACUUUCUCUAAGCCACCCAAGGGAAGACACUUGUUCCUUUGGUCUUGCAAAGCUAUAAAAGUGUAAGCCUCGCGGUGCUGGUGGCAAAGUGCACCACUGGAUGGGGAAAGACUGCCUAAGGAUGAAGUGGACAAGAGAGAAACUAGAAUAAGGAAGGGAAUUCUCAAAAUUCUUGAUCAUUUUUUGUGCUGAAUUGUCCAAUAUAUUUUGUCUUAGUUCCUCCCAAGGCACUAUGAUUUAAGUCUCUGUCACUUUUCAUUAAAUCAGAUCUUAGCUGAUGAAUGGUGUUGUGGAACAAACCCUUAGGUCUCCUAGAUCACUGUCAAGUUCUCUCUUAAUUUGCAACAAACAUUCAUCUAUUCAUCCAUUCAGUAACUCAUCCGUGUAUCCACUCAUCUAUCCAAUACACUACAUUGGAUGUAUAUAAAAUUUGUUUAUUGAAUAUGUUGCCUAUAUAAUUUUUCACAAUACAUUCAAUGACUAAGAUACCCACCUCCUAUUAAUCCCGAGUGGUUGACAAAGGGCAAACCAAGUUGUGAACUCAGGACUUGGAACUCACUCAGGAAUUUAGUCCCCAAAGGCAAUACCAAGUUUCGUUACUGUCAUCAACAUAUGGCCAGACAUGAACCUGCCUUUGCCAAACAUGAUUUGGCCAGUCUAAUGUCAUAAGCCAAGCGGGAGAGUCUGGAAUAUAGUUGACAAGCAUGUGGGUUUUCCUGUCAGACCUGAUGCCAGUACUGUAGACUCACCAGUGCCCUGAGUGUGAAUUUCCAAGGAGGGCUUAGGGGCUCCACUCCUAUGAGACCAGUUUUUCCCCAUGUAACUCAGUGGCCACAUUAAUCAUAGUCCUGCCUCAAAAUCACAGAUGAGUGUACUACCUUUCAGCAUGACUGUAGCACUCAAGAAUCGGAGCAAACUAACUCAAUCCCUCAUUUGGAACUCCUGUUUUUCCAAAGUGAAAUGCAGUUCACAGAGAAGAAGAAAUGUGCCCAAGGCCACAUAAGGAAUUAUGAGAA